AUUGAACGCUGGCGGCAGGCCUAACACAUGCAAGUCGAGCGAGCGGCGGACGGGUGAGUAAUGUCUGGGAAACUGCCUGAUGGAGGGGGAUAACUACUGGAAACGGUAGCUAAUACCGCAUACCAUCAGAUGUGCCCAGAUGGGAUUGGCUAGUAGGUGGGGUAACGGAUCACCUAGGCGACGAUCCCUAGCUGGUCUGAGAGGAUGACCAGCCACACUGGAACUGAGACCCGGUCCCGACUCCUACGGGGGGCAGCAGUGGGGAAUAUUGCGCAAUGGGCGCAAGGCUGAUGCAGCCAUGCCGCGUGUGUGAAGAAGGCCUUCGGGUUGUAAAGCACUUUCAGCGGGGAGGCGUUACCCUCAGAAGAAGCACCGGCUAACUCCGUGCCAGCAGCCGCGGUAAUAC
rnacentral:rRNA from 1 species